UCCGUGGCCGCCACAUGACCAAUGAGAAAGCUCCCUUAACCUCACGGCAGUAGGUCUUUUCAACCUAACCUAGCCCAACUGUUAAGGCAAUAAAAAUGAAGUAUUGCCAUGUGCAAACCUCCUAAAAAGAAAACCCCAAAUUAUGAGAUGGGCACCUGAUUCUUUUAAUUUAACACCACACAGAUCGGACCUCAAUGUUCCAGCCUGUGUGGCUCACAGCUAUCCCGUGGCAGGCGAUUGAGUCUUGUACAACUCACUUCUACAACAACAAGAGGCAAAGAACCCCAAAUUUUUGCCUCGAUCAAAACUUCAGAUUUACGAAAGCUUUGUUUGAGUCGUCGUAUUACAACAUAUGAACCUCCUCUGAGAAAAUUGGACUAGUAAAAUAAGAAUACAAGAGCUCUUAUUAAAAAAGUUUAGUUUUUAACUUUUUGGGUUGAUAAUCUUUUAAAGCAGCUUCGUCUGACCAUUGUAUAGAGAAUGAAAAUUUUUGUUAGUUGUGAAUCAUGAAUACAUACAUACACAUUUUCCCAUGAGUAUUCCACUAAGGAACAGAGGAAUUUUGAUACAAGAUUUCAAUAUUUUUGGUCUUUGAGAUAUAGCCUGCAUUGACAAAAAAAAGUCUAGCUGAAAAUUUAAGAUUUUUUCGUGGUUGAAGGAUUACGAGCCAAAGAACUAAAACUUCAAAAUAAAGAUGCCAUCUUAAAAUUUAAGUUUCUAUACACUAACGGGCACAACAUGAUUAGAAAUGAGAAACAACUUUGCUUCCCAAACUUUUCUUCGAAUGGGAAUCCUUUUUCGGCUACCGAGAUCAAAGGAAUAUUACUUCCUCGUAUAGCUCUUCCUCUUAUGACUACAGUUUGUUAUAAAAAAUCGAGUAUUCUUAUAUUCAGAGAAGCAUUUGCAUGACAGCAGGAACUUGGAGACUGUAUUAUACCCUACCCUAUUCUAAAAUAGGACUGGCAAGGAAAGUAAGAGACAAUGAUGGACACAUAGAAGAUUUCGUCUGCUAAGAGAGAUGUACAAGAAAUAUGGUUUUAUGGUUAUGGUUGGGACUGCAAGGAAUAUUUAGAGACUAUUGGCCCGUGCGAAAUGGAUGAAUUUAGUGUAUGGUCUUUUAAACAUGAUUGACAUUGGAUUGGUCUUUAAAACAUGAUAGAUAACUUUUUAGGGCUCAGUAACAUUACAGCAAACUUGUGAAGAGUAUAAAAAAUUGAAACUACUGAUACAUUGAUUAAAUAACUUAAAAUGCUUGUAUCGCCUAUAACUAAAGCUGAAUUUCACAAAAAAUUAAAAAAUUUAAUAAGGUCAGUGAAAAGUCCACUGCAAAAAAUAACUUUAAAUGCUUGUUAUGGCCUGUGGGGAAAUAGAAGCAAAAUUUGCGACCCCACAAAAAUAAUUAACUCGAUCCUAACAAAAAACUCUUAUAUUGUCUCUGAAAAUCUAUACAAAUGUUAAUGUAUAAUGUAUCUUAAUUUGCUUGUAACUCCUUAAAUAUAGUUCGGAUCAGAAAGAGUAAACCAACAAGAAAACGUGACAUAAUUCGGGACUACCACAAAAGAGUUUAAAAUCUUGUAAGUAUAGCUAAGAGUCCAAUAUAGAAAAGCUUUAAUUGUCUGCAACUUAAAUAUUGCUCUGGGUAGCAAUAUAAGCCAAUCAGAGCAAUUUGCUGUCAACCCAUAAAAAUUUAUAUUUUUAUGAAAUAACUUAAAUUGCUUGUAACUCCUCAAUGGCAUGGCUUCUAGAAAAAACUUCUCCUUAAGCUGACAUAUUGAUUAAAAAACUUAAAUUGCUUGUAACUCCUUAACCUUUAGGUUAAACAUACCUGGUUCAAAGGUAGGUAGGAACUAGAAGGAAUCUUCUCUUGUUCCUGUGGUUUCACAAUGGGCUGAAAUGUCUUAUUGCAGAUUGCUUCUUUUGCCACAAAAAACUUUUAAAAUCUAGCAGAAAGUUCAUACAAAUUUCAAUACGGAAGAUUUCUUUUGCUAGAUAAAUAGCCGCAUUCACAAAACUAAUCGAAGCCUUAUAAUAGGUUUAUAUGGCAUUUCUAUAAAGGACGUCUGUCAAAUAAACCUAUGCAGAUUAGAUAUUAACCAAAAUUUUAACUGAAUUGAGAUAGAGUAAAAAAACGAAAAUUACUCUACCAGCCCAAUUCUGAAAACUCCCUAAUUUUUCCCUCGAAUAAAAUCCUCAUAUUCUGAUUGAAUGGGGAGAGAAAAACUUUGGGUGAGUGAAUUACGAAUUUUCGAAUACAGCUGUUUUGAUUCAGCUGGUGGACGUUGGCGUUUCCCUUGCCAAAAGGAGUUUAGGUGGCUGAAUCUACCGAAUCGUUCUUGGGCAGAACUACUUUAUUGAGUAGUGUAAGGGCUUGCUCCUACUACGCGUCAUGAAUGAAGUGGUGGUCUGUCUGAAGCGCCGCUUUAUCUAAAGACCCACAUUUAUGGAGAUCGAACUUGAAGACCUAAUCGAAAUUUGCGGGCGGGCGGGCUGUUGGACAUAGUGCUGCUGAAUAGCGACUUACGGAUUUAUUUAUAUCCCUGUGGCUAUACUGCCAAAUGUGGCACCAAGUAUUCUAGAGUAAUUGCUGGUCUGAAGUGUAAUGUUACAAAUUUUCCAACGAACAUUCCAUUAAGGAACAGGCAGAAAACUUCUUGCAUACCAAUGAAUGCUGCCCGAUUCUACUUUAAUCUCAAUGAUAAAGGGGCCUACUUGUAGCAUCCUUUAGCAACAUCUCUAUACAUAUUGGUCUAAGAAUACUAAAAUAUAAACCACAUAUUUUGACAUAGGUAUGUUUGUUCCAUGGCAGCCGGUUGUACGUACCGGAUUGACUCAAAGUCCUUCACCGUCAAGGGAGGGGAGGGAGUAGGGAACAAACUCCCAGGAAAUUGUUAUUCAGAAUAGGGCUGUACAUGUUCCAAAAGCGGACUUGAGUUAUUGUUAGCAAAAACCUCAUAAGAGCUCAUAGUUAAGGGUAUAUUUCUUACCCAUGAUAGCAUCUUAACUCUUAAUUAUUAUUGAGGGUUCUAGGCUAACUCAAAAAAAAGUUGUCUUUAAAUUUUGUUCUAAGUAUCCAGUAUUUUGUUAUAUAUAAAUAAAAAUCAACAAUAUUUUGAGAUUUUUGUUUCAACAAAUCAACACUGAUGCAAUUUCAACGAUUUACUAGUAAAAAGAAACAUUUUAAAAAAUAAAUAUAAAGGCACCAUUGAAAAAGGUUAUAAUUUUAAGUCAAGUUCAGAUUUGAAAAAAAGUAAAAUUGAGGUUUCUAAAACCUUAAAAGGAACAGGCAAUUGAAAAAAUUGAUACAACAUAAACUAAUUCAAGGUGUCCUUAUGAUUUAUCAUACUCACUAUUAUUAAAAAAAACUUAAACAAUAUUACAAAAGAAAAAUAUAUUUAAUACUAGCUUUAAGAUCAAGUAACAACAUUUACUAUAAUAGAGCAAGUAACAGCUCAUUACAAUGUUUAGAAUUAAGGAAUUUAACAGUUUUUCUUUUUAUUUAAAUGCGACAAAUACAGAAAAUGCUACAUAUUCAAAAUAAGUCAAUUAGUUUGAAUAUUUAUGCAUAAGACCCUCCAGUAACAACAAGGGACAAAAAAAAAUAAUAAUUUUUUAUAAACCAACUAUAGAAGUAUAAGAGAAAU
rnacentral:sRNA from 1 species